rnacentral:rRNA from 1 species
UACAGAGGGUGCAAGCGUUAAUCGGAUUUACUGGGUGUAAAGGGCGCGUAGGUGGUUGCGUAAGUGAGAUGUGAAAUCCCCGGGCUUAACCUGGGAACUGCAUCUUAUACUGCGUAGCUGGAGUGCAGUAGAGGGUAGUGGAAUUUCCGGUGUAGCGGUGAAAUGCGCAGAUAUCAGGAGGAACACCGGUGGCGAAGGCGGGUCUCUGGGCCGUAACUGACGCUGAGGAGCGAAAGCAUGGGGAGCGAACAGG